AGAGUUUGAGUCCUGGCUCAGGAUGAACGCUGGCGGCGUGCUUAACACAUGCAAGUCGAACGGAGAUUAUACGCAGAGGCGAUUUCGGUCAAAUCAUGUAAAAUCUUAGUGGCGGACGGGUGAGUAACGCGUGGGUAACCUGCCUUACACUGGGGGAUAACACUUAGAAAUAGGUGCUAAUACCGCAUAAGCGCACGAAGCCGCAUGGAUUUGUGUGAAAAACUCCGGUGGUGUAAGAUGGACCCGCGUCUGAUUAGCUUGUUGGCGGGGUAACGGCCCACCAAGGCGACGAUCAGUAGCCGGCCUGAGAGGGUGGACGGCCACAUUGGGACUGAGACACGGCCCAAACUCCUACGGGAGGCAGCAGUGGGGGAUAUUGGACAAUGGGGGGAACCCUGAUCCAGCGACGCCGCGUGAGUGAAGAAGUAUUUCGGUAUGUAAAGCUCUGUUAGCAGGGAAGAAAGAAAUGACGGUACCUGACCAAGAAGCCCCGGCUAACUACGUG
rnacentral:rRNA from 1 species